rnacentral:misc_RNA from 1 species
CACGACUUCUCCGCGCACACCUCCGAAUCCACCGCAUGCACAUCCGGCGGGCGGCAGUGAAUCCUCUGCACAUACACACACACAGUCGCGAAACGGAAAAGAACUUCAGUAGGAACCGAGUAACGACCAUGGGUGACCGGGACUCAUGCAGCCGGCGUGACUCGCGCGCUGACCGCUACGGCGGCGACAGCGAUGUCACGGGUGGUGGUGGUGGUGGUAGCGGCGGUGGCGGUCGGUACAACAGGGCGCGCUACCGCCGUGAGGACGCCGAUGACGACGGGCACGAUCCGUUCCGCCGCCCGCCGCGGCAGCAGGGCGGCGAUGACGGCUCUGGCAGCCACGACCUCCACGCCCGCCGGCUGCGCCGUUCGCGCACCGAGGGCGGUGACGACGGCUACGGCGCCCCGUGGCAGCAACAGCAGCAGCAGCAGUUCACACCCUACAUGAGUCAAGGUAGUGGGGCUGGCACGGGCUUCCCGUACCGUGAAAUGAUGCCGAUGAACGCUCCGCAAGGCUUCCACGGUGAUGCUGGCGGAGGCGACUUCGGCCUGCCAUUCAUGAGCGGCGGCGCCCCCGGGGUGAUGCCGUUCGGCUUCGGUGGCGGCCCAAGCCCGAAUGGCAACCACCAGGGCGGGGGUGUCGGGAUGAGUUCGGAUCAGCUGCUCCAGUUUCUCCUGCAACAGCAGCAGCAGCAGCAGCAACUGUCGUCUUCGCCGCUGCCGCCACGGGAGCGCGCCGAGGAGCGGGGCGACAACUUGAAGAGCACGGGACCGAACGCGGCCCCCGCAGCGACACGAGUGCUGCCCUCGGUGGAGGAAUUUGUGCCGGUGGUGCCAAAAAGCCUCAUGAGCCUCGUCGUUGGCGGCGGGCCCCCGGGCAGUGGCGAUGGCAACGCGGCAGCCGCAGGGUCGACUUCUUCGCAGCCGCAACAGACGGGAAACGGGCAAAGAGGGGCACUCGUUCUGUUGGAAGCGCCCAAGAUCGGGCCGGAAGCGGACCGCCGCGCGCGCGAGCAGCGCCGCGCGCACGUAUCCGGCUUCCCGCUCGGCACCACGCGCGAGGAGCUGGAAGACUAUUUCCAGCUUCUUCUGCCGGAGGUCCGCCGGCUGCAGACGGAGCGCCAAAUCCGCGAGCUCGCGGAGCGGGUUGGGCUGAUCGAGGAGGAGGGGGAGGCGGCGGUGCGGCACGUCCCGGCCACAGCGAACCUGGCGAGCAUUGAUGAGGUGAAGAGCCUCAGCGUGAGCACUGGCAGGGCCAAGUCCUUUAGCUUCAUUGAGCUGCGCCUGGCCGACAUGAUCGACGAGCUGGUGAGCCAGAGUGCCGCCGACCCGCACCGGUUUCUCUUCAACUCGUCGUUGGAUGGCCAGACGUACCCGCUGAUGAUCCGACGGCCGCGCGACGCGGACCCGCUGACGGGGGUGGACGAGGCAAAGGUGGUCCUCGUUGGCUUUCCGCCCUCGAUGCCGGAGGAGUCAAUCAAGCCCGUCUUCGAGUCCUACGGCAAGCUUCUGAAGUUCGAGCUGCGCAACGGCUACGCGUACGGCGAGUUCGAGGAGCUGCGGGACGCCACGGACUUCCGCGCAGAUGUGCACGGCGUCGUGCUGGGCAACAACAUGGUCGUCGCUCUGCCGCUCUACGACUGGCUGAAGGCGCUGCUGGUGCGUGAGGGCAUUGAUGUCACGAUCGAGGACGACGACCCGGUGUCGGGCAAGUACGUCAUGAAGCAAGUGCGUGAGCGGCUGCCUGAGACAUCAGCGCUCGGUGGGGCUGGCGCGCAGGCUGGCGCGGCCGGUGGCGGCGGUGCCGCGGGAGGCGACGCUGGGGCUGGCGGCAGCUCGGCGCUCGUGGCGGUCUCCGAGGACCCCGAGGCGGCGUCGCUGCAGAUCAUGCGGGAGCUUCUGGACAUGUCCUUCACGUUGCCCGACAUGCUUGGCCGCUUCGCCGCCCUCUACCCUCACCUGCGCCCCCUGUACGCGAACUCGCAGCUCACCGUCUACGCCACGCCGGUGCUGGUCUUGCUGAACCUCUUCGACGAGGAGGAGCUUGUCUACGACAGUAACUACUCGCAGCUGCUGGCCGACAUCGAGGAGGAAGUCGAGAAGUACGGCCGCGUGAAGCGGCUUGUCGUGCCACGCCGCGAGGCCCGGCCGAAACUACCUGAAGCGCCGAAGCCCGGCGUCGACUACGACGAGGCCGACGAGGCGGCCAAGGCGGCGGCCAUGGCGGCGCACAGUGAGGCCAGGAAGAACUUCGGCGCGGAGCUCGGGCGCUACAUGAACCGGCAAACUCACCCCGUGUGGGGCGGCUACGGCCGUGUCUUUGUGGAGUACGAGACCGUGGACGAGGCGGCGGAGGCGCAGCAGCGGAUUGCUGGCAAGCUGUUUGGCGAGCGCACCGUCGUGACGUCUUUUCUCUUCCCUGAACUUUUAAAGGACACCAACGAGGAGGCAGUGGAGGCGGACGCGCAAGGUGAGGAUGAGAAGGGUGCUGGCGGCGAUGGUGCCAACGAGGAGGCCAAGGGCGGAGAGAACGACGGUGACGGCGAAGCAGUGGCGGAGGCAGAGAGGGAGGACGAUGAGGCACCUUCGUCCACACAGCCGCGGAAGGACGCAGAGGUGUCAGGCGAUGCACCUGGCGAGGUAGCAGCCACAAAGCCGUCGGUGCAUACCGAGGACAUCGACUGAGAGCAUGGCAGCUGCCGCCAAGAAGCGCGCAGGCACAAGUCCUCCCCUCUCCCGGAUCAACCUGCUCCCGUCUCGCCGUGCAUAUGCUAGAGGGCUCGGCGCUCCCCACCCCACCCCCUCCCUUUCCGGGGUGGUCUUGGUGGUGGUGGCCGUGGUGCCGGCCUCCGCGUCCCCACCGGCGACACCGAUCUAUCAGAGAUCUCGAUUUGUAAUGGCGACGGCGCGUGAGUGAGUGCGUGUGUGCGUGUGCGUGUUUGGCUGCGGGCUUAGGCACCCUCACCCCACCCCUAACUGAGCGAUGCGAAAGACGCGACGCAGGUGAACAUUAAACGGCGCAAGUUUGCCAAAAAGG